rnacentral:rRNA from 1 species
AGCGAACGCUGGCGGCAGGCUUAACACAUGCAAGUCGAGCGGGCACUUUCGGGUGUCAGCGGCGGACGGGUGAGUAACGCGUGGGAACGUGCCCGCUGGUUCGGAAUAACUCAGGGAAACUUGAGCUAAUACCGGAUACGCCCUUUUGGGGAAAGGCUUGCUGCCGGAGGAUCGGCCCGCGUCUGAUUAGCUAGUUGGUGAGGUAACGGCUCACCAAGGCGACGAUCAGUAGCUGGUCUGAGAGGAUGAUCAGCCACACUGGGACUGAGACACGGCCCAGACUCCUACGGGAGGCAGCAGUGGGGAAUAUUGGACAAUGGGCGCAAGCCUGAUCCAGCCAUGCCGCGUGAGUGAUGAAGGCCUUAGGGUUGUAAAGCUCUUUUAUCCGGGACGAUAAUGACGGUACCGGAGGAAUAAGCCCCGGCUAACUUCGUG